CACGUAAAUGAAUACAGCUACUUCAAAAUUCAAGGAGAAACAUAACAACAUCUGAUAAUUUUUUCAAAAGAAGUCUUGCUGAAGGAGUUAACACUGGAAAGCACAGUUUUUCAACAGAUCCAUUUUUUUAAAAAUUAUCUUUCAGAAUAAAGUGGUAGCUGAUUAAAAUAAAUUUAAAAUCCCUUUUGAAUCCGGCCACUAAAGGCACACGAGGAAGCUCUAUUUCUCAUCUACAAACCUAUGCCUAUCCUUCACUAUAUAUUCAAAACCAUCAGUCAAAUGGAUGUAUUAUUUGAAAAUAGGUUAAUUGACCAAACAGACCUGUUGUUAAAAAUGGUCAGGCUAACUUUUUAGGCAUUGAAUUAUCCAUGUGCGUUUUCUUUGGGUGAAUCUGGAAAUGAACUUUUACCCAUUUCGUACGAUUUUCAAGUAUAUACAAUUUUCCUUGAAAUGCCAGUUUUUUCUGGAGAAAAUUCCAAAUUACUGGAAAUCCCUACUGAGAUAUAAUUUUUUGAGCUUGUAUUCUGCGCUGAAAAAUGCAAAAGCAUCAGCGAAGUUACCUCUUUCAUACAACAUGAUCACAAUUUACAGGGUUGUGUUAACCAAAUGAUAAAAUAUCGCCAAAAAAAAUCAAAAUAAAACUUGCAUACCCGCUUACACUUAUUUUUUAGGGUCAAUUAACAAUUAAGGGCGGUUGUUUACGCUAACAAAAAGAGUCAGGGUUAGUCAGUUACACUUAUAUUUUAGGGUCAAUUUACAAUUAAGGGCGGUUGUUUACGCCAACAAAAAGAGUCAGGGUAGGGUGCUUGGGUUGCCAAGCUAGACAGAUGAGAUAAGCCCCUAGGGGCUUUUUCAAGUUGGGGAAAAAAAAUUAUUUUUCUCAGCAAAUGAAAACACAUUGCAAUAAGUAAAUUUAGUUCAAGUGAGUACGCAAAGUUUUUAAAAUUUUUCUCAUUUUAAUUUGUUCUUUCCCUUGUUAUGGUUUUUCUAGUAACAUCAUAUGAUAGAGCAUUUUUUGGAAUUUGCUCAACUUUUUGGAAAAAUAACCUUCUUUUGCAGUUGUUGGAAUAAUGAUAUGUUAAGGUAUUAUGGAUUAUUAAAAAAUAACACCUCGUUAGAUAGUACAGAGUAUAUAUCGAUGAUAAUAAGGCUUAGUUUAUGACAUCGUGCGUACAAGUGCUGAAGAGGACUAAGUACAGGAGAAAUUUUUAACUAGACAGGGAGCUUCAUCUUAUCGCUGAGUCUCAGGCUCAGUUGACCAUACGUCAUAAGUAAUAUAAUACAUGAACUGAUACAGGUUUGCAAAAUCUUGCGUUA